CAGAAACACCCUCUGAUACUCAGUGUGUCAGUCACACCGGGAUUCAUUCACUGAGUUCCGGGAGCAAGGCAGCUUUUCAAGGCUGGGCACUAAACAGGGGGAGCUUUGUGAGUGCCUAGACUCCUCUGCCGGCCACCUGCUCUUCCUCUCCUUGGCUUCCACGAAGAAAGCUGCAUGAGAGCAGGGAAUUGCUUUGUCCAAUGCUAAUCACUAAAGCUUAGAAUACUGCUUGUUACAUGGGCCAGAAGUCAAGAAUAGGAGAGCAGCAGAAAACCACUAAAUAUGACAGCCAGCUUCACAUGGUUGGGGACCUCUGGCUGGUGAUGUUACCUGCCACAGGAUGUGCCCUGCCCAAUCAGCUUGCCAAGUCUAGCUUGUGCACUGGUUCCUGAGUUCUUGUCCUGUGCCCAAGAAGAAUGAGGAUGUGCUGACCAUUGAAGGAGUCUUGUUCUGUUGACCAGGCUGGAAUGCUGUGGUGUGAUCUCGCCUCAUUUCAACCUCCACCUCCCAGGUUCAAGCGAUUCUCCUGCCUCAGCCUCCCGAGUAGCUGAGACUACAGAGCCACCUCUUAGUUGGACUAUUUCACUGCAACAGUCCCCUUCAGCUGAUGCUGAGUCUAUGGACCGAUUCCGGUCUGAGAACUGGGAAGGAGCUCUAGCUCUCCAAACAGGUGAUUUGAGUCAGGCCUCUGUUCAAUUAGAUUAUAAGGCCUAAUUUUUUUAAAUCAGUUGUACAAUUCAGAUAGGAAUUUAUGGGCUAUCUUCUAUUUUUGUCUCAGGGGCUUUAAUGAUGAAAUAGCUACCUCCAAAAUCCACUAACAUAACCAAACUGCUCUUGCUCCUGGUGGCCAAUGACAGCUACUGCUACUUGGGCCUUUCCAUUCUUGGGAUCUAUUGUCCUCAUUGAGAUAGUAAGCUGUUUUUAAAGUAGUUUCUCUCAUUAGCACCCCUAUUUAGUAGACAGCAACUUUUAAAAUACUUUUUCAAAGUGGAUGUUGCUCUUCUCCUCAUCAUAGGGAAUGAUGGAAUAUGACUAGGUGUAUGUGAGUGAGCUACAUGUGGAUACAGAAUUCUAACAUUGCCAUCUCAUUUAGUCUUUGGAUUUCUUCUUUAUCAAGAAAUUUUUGGCAUCUCAUCUUCAAUUAUUUGAACGAAUAAUGAUUCCAGGUUUACCGUAUUCUGUGCUGUUUGAUCUAGCUCAUUUGUUGCAGAAUAUGUAGUAGUUAAACUCACACUGGUAAAUUUUGC
rnacentral:lncRNA from 10 species